GUGCCAGCAGCCGCGGUAAUACGUAGGUGGCAAGCGUUGUCCGGAAUUAUUGGGCGUAAAGCGCGCGCAGGCGGAUCAGUCAGUCUGUCUUAAAAAGUUCGGGGCUUAACCCCGUGAUGGGAUGGAAACUGCUGAUCUAGAGCAUCGGAGAGGAAAGUGGAAUUCCUAGUGUAGCGGUGAAAUGCGUAGAUAUUAGGAAGAACACCAGUGGCGAAGGCGACUUUCUGGACGAAAACUGACGCUGAGGCGCGAAAGCCAGGGGAGCGAACGGGAUUAGAUACCCCGGUAGUCC
rnacentral:rRNA from 1 species